UACGAAGGUGGCAAGCGUUGUUCGGAUUUACUGGGCGUAAAGGGAGCGUAGGUGGUCGGGUAAGCCCCGCGGGAAAGCUCCAGGCUUAACCUGGAAAGGUCGCGGGGGACUGCGCGGCUAGAGGACGGGAGAGGAGCGCGGAAUUCCCGGUGUAGCGGUGAAAUGCGUAGAGAUCGGGAGGAAGGCCGGUGGCGAAGGCGGCGCUCUGGAACGGCCCUGACACUGAGGCUCGAAAGCGUGGGGAGCAAACGGG
rnacentral:rRNA from 1 species